rnacentral:rRNA from 1 species
UACGAAGGGGGCUAGCGUUGUUCGGAAUCACUGGGCGUAAAGCGCACGUAGGCGGAUCUUUAAGUCAGGGGUGAAAUCCCGAGGCUCAACCUCGGAACUGCCUUUGAUACUGGGGAUCUCGAGUCCGGGAGAGGUGAGUGGAACUGCGAGUGUAGAGGUGAAAUUCGUAGAUAUUCGCAAGAACACCAGUGGCGAAAGCGGCUCUCUGGCCCGGUUCUGACGCUGAGGCGCGAAAGCGUGGGGAGCAAACAGG